rnacentral:rRNA from 1 species
UCAAGGUAGACAUGUUAUUGGAAAAAUUGCUACACGGGUCAGUUCCGAUCACCGAAGUUAAGCAACGUCGGGCGCGGUCAGUACUUGGAUGGGUGACCGCCUGGGAACACCGCGUGAUGUUGGCU